rnacentral:rRNA from 1 species
UACGUAGGUGGCAAGCGUUGUCCGGAAUUAUUGGGCGUAAAGAGCUCGUAGGCGGUCUGUCGCGUCGGCUGUGAAAACCCGAGGCUCAACCUCGGGCCUGCAGUCGAUACGGGCAAACUAGAGUACUGCAGGGGAGACUGGAAUUCCUGGUGUAGCGGUGAAAUGCGCAGAUAUCAGGAGGAACACCGGUGGCGAAGGCGGGUCUCUGGGCCUUACCUGACGCUGAGGAGCGAAAGCGUGGGGAGCGAACAGG